UUGUGAAUCGAGAAUCUUUUUCUUGUUUGGGGGUAAAUUUUCAAUUGGAGUUUUCUGCUUGCGUCAGAAUAUCUGAUUUUGUGAUUGGAUUUUGAAUUUCUUAGUUAUCAGUGUGCACUGGUUUUAGAGGAUAGGCUCUUGUGGAGUAGUAAUUUGAUAUAUGUGAAUGUGAAGUAAUAAAAAAGAGUUUAGGAUUAUGCAGAGGAUAAUUUUUGAGGAUUGUGCCCUUGUAUGAUAUCAAUGGGAGACCUUUUGUGCCUUCUGAAAAGUGAAAAGGCAUUAUUUUGAGGCAACUUCAUUGGUUUACACUGAUGCUUUCCUUGCUCUUUGAUCAGUUCUUCUUACUCGCAUGUUGCGGGCAUAGAAUUUAUUUUUUUCAUUGUUUUCAGAUGUUUUGGACAAUUAAAGAAGUGCACCCAACCUAAAUGCCUUUGAGCCGUGUCAAAAUGUAAAACUUUGACGAGUUAGAAAUUUUCGUUUCCGCUGGUUUUUCCCAGUUUUCCACCGUAUAUAGUUAUUAAUCAUCCUUGAUUUGUUGUUUUUGAGGUCUGAAAUUUUUGCCUGCAGCUUUUGACGAAUAAAAAGUUAAAAACCUAGCAUAAUUGUAACAUGGUUAGUUUACAGCUUUUAGGCAUGUGCUCUUAUAAGUUUUAAGAAGGUAUCAUGCUUAAGCAAAUUGGACUUGUUGAUGAACUUUGUGUCCAAGAUUUAACAUUUAGUUGAUACUUGGAACUAUGGUACAUGGUUUUCAACCUUAAAAUUUUCUUUUUCUGUCGUUGGGAGUAAUCUUCACGUAACACAAAGUCAAAUCAUGAACUUUGUCUCUGAAUAUUAGUUAUGCUUUAGACUGUAUUCUGUGGAUCUCUAGGUUGCCUAGGAUGUGCACAAAGGUCGAUUGAGGGUUUCAUGCAGUUCGUAGGGUUUCUUCUGACUGGAUAAUUAUUUUUCUCUUCAGUUUUGUUUCUUAUGCCCAGGUUGGUUGACUUUAAGGUUUACAGUGCUUCAUUAUUGUAUAUGCAUUUUUAGGAAUAAAGGGUGCACUUAGAUGAAUUCAAAAUUGAGUUGCAUUGAUAUUUAAUCCUAAACCUGGAAGGAAUUUUUUUUCUUCACCUGGUGGAUUUCCCAUCUUCAACCCACUCAUAUUGUAAACUAUAUGCAUUUGAUAUCUGGCGAACGAUUGUAUAUGCAUUUUCGGGGAUAAAGGGUCCACUUAGACGAAUUCAACCUUGAGAUAAUGAGACGCAUUAAUAUUUAAUCCUAAACUUGGAAGGCAUUAUUUUCUUCUCCUGGUGGAUAUUCCAUCUUAAACCCUCCCAUAUUGUAAACUAAAUGCAUUUGAUAUCUGACAAAUAGAGAGCUUGUAUCAUGUCCAUCAUUUUUAUGCACAUUAAUUGCUUUCACAACCCUGUGCAUAAUUUUACAAUGAUGUACUCACAUCUCCUUACAAUUUGGCAUAUUGGUAUAUCCUUUGCAUCUCACUUGACACUGAUGUCUCUAGAGGGGCUUUCACUGUUAAAUUUCAUGGUUGUUGGGGUUCUCAUAAUGUACACAUCAGAAACAGAAAUAUUCUGCUUCUUCUGUUUGCAUUUGAUUAAUGCAUGAUAUCAUUUUUCAAUAGUCCAGUAUCAUUUAUGUCCAAGUCAUCCAUUGCGAAGUCAUUUUUCCUUGUGUACUUGUGGAUUCUGUUCUACUCAUGCAUGUAAGGCUGAAAUCCUUCGCUAACAUUAAGUACUGCAUUGCUUGUUACAUAUUCUUCUCGACUCUGCUGGUGCUUUCCGACGAAAAACUGGACAACUUAUUUGCUCUCUCUGUAUCUCACUGAGCAUGUGUGUGCUGGAUUUGAGAUUCAUUAGUCUGUCAAUACCAGGCUUGCCUUUGCAGUAUGGACUUAAUACAGCCUCUUCAUCAGUAAUCCCAGUGGACUUUGCAGUAGAGGACCGUGGAAGAUUUCCUCGCAUUGUGUUUGGAAGAAAAGAGAGUUAUCCUCUGAUAGAUUAAUGGUUUAUGAGCGUCAAAUUGGUUUUACUGCUUAGAAUAUAUUUGGCCAUCAUUUAUUGAGCAAUGAUAUAUGCAUUGGCACCUUGGUUUUGUAAUUUAUGUCAAUAGUAUUUCAUUACAAAGUUGUAAAUAUGCUCUAAACAAAUAUGUGUGUAUUAGUUACUUGUAACUGGUUCAUUUUACAUAUUUAUUUUCAUUUGCACCAGACUUCAUCUU